rnacentral:misc_RNA from 1 species
CCUUGUGGAGGAGGACGCCGAAGGUGGGGCUAAUGACUGGGGUGAAGUCGUAACAAGGUAGCCGUACCGGAAGGUGCGGCUGGAUCACCUCCUAACAGGGAGACAACAAAAUGUUUAUAUUAAUUUUGUCACCUUAGGUCGAUCGGUAUCUCAGAUUUUCAAUUUUAUUGAGAAUUUCAGUUUCUAAGUUUUUUCUAGGUCACACCCAUUACUUUUCCUGGGCCAUUAGCUCAGGUGGUUAGAGCGCACCCCUGAUAAGGGUGAGGUCCCUGGUUCAAGUCCAGGAUGGCCCAUAUCUCUAUGUUGGGGGUAUAGCUCAGUUGGUAGAGCGCCUGCUUUGCAAGCAGGAUGUCAGCGGUUCGAGUCCGCUUACCUCCACUGAUUACCACCUCUACCAUAAAUGUAUCAAAGGAAAUGUUUUGAGCUGUGAUCAAAUUCUGAACGAAUCUAGCCUCCUAAUGAAAUCAUUAAGAUGCUGGACUCAUUGAAUCAAAUUCAUUGUUUUCAGAGAACCUUGACAACUGCAUAGAUUUUUUUUAAAGACAAUAAGCAUCUUUAAUGAUGCAGAUUUAUUAUUUGUGCGAAUGCAUUAAUAACAAUUCUAUUAAGCUGAUGCUUCAAUUUUUGAAGUUAUUGGUCAAGCUACAAAGGGCUCACGGAGGAUACCUAGGC